GGUCUGUGAUGAGUUCUGGCAUGUAUUAUCUGAGUAUAAAUUUGAAGAUUAUCGGUUUAGCUCUGAGACCUG
ensembl:snoRNA small nucleolar RNA SNORD45